UCCCCUAGUAGCGGCGAGCGAAGCGGGAAGAGCUCAAAUUUAUAAUCUGGCACCUUCGGUGUCCGAGUUGUAAUCUCUAGAAAUGUUUUCCGCGUUGGACCGCACACAAGUCUGUUGGAAUACAGCGGCAUAGUGGUGAGACCCCCGUAUAUGGUGCGGACGCCCAGCGCUUUGUGAUACAUUUUCGAAGAGUCGAGUUGUUUGGGAAUGCAGCUCAAAUUGGGUGGUAAAUUCCAUCUAAAGCUAAAUAUUGGCGAGAGACCGAUAGCGAACAAGUACCGUGAGGGAAAGAUGAAAAGCACUUUGGAAAGAGAGUUAACAGUACGUGAAAUUGUUGGAAGGGAAACGCUUGAAGUCAGACUUGCUUGCCGAGCAAUCGGUUUGCAGGCCAGCAUCAGUUUUCCGGGAUGGAUAAUGGUAGAGAGAAGGUAGCAGUUUCGGCUGUGUUAUAGCUCUCUGCUGGAUACAUCUUGGGGGACUGAGGAACGCAGUGUGCCUUUGGCGGGGGUUUCGACCUCUUCACACUUAGGAUGCUGGUGGAAUGGCUUUAAACGACCCGUCUUGAAACACGGACCAAGGAGUCUAACAUGCUUGCGAGUAUUUGGGUGUCAAACCCGGAUGCGUAAUGAAAGUGAAUGGAGGUGGGAACCGCAAGGUGCACCAUCGACCGAUCUGGAUUUUUAAUGAUGGAUUUGAGUAAGAGCACGUAUGUUGGGACCCGAAAGAUGGUGAACUAUGCCUGAAUAGGGCGAAGCCAGAGGAAACUCUGGUGGA
rnacentral:rRNA from 1 species